UAAGUACCUGGAGGAAGAGAAAGAAAAAUCGAUUUCCUGAGUAGCGGCGAGCGAAACGGAAAGAGCCCAAACCAAGAAGCUUGCUUCUUGGGGUUGUAGGACACUCUAUACGGAGUUACAAAAGAAAGUUAUAAAUGAAGCGGUCUGGAAAGGCCCGCCAAAGACGGUAACAGCCCGGUAGUUGAAAUGGCUUUCCCUCCAGAGUGGAUCCUGAGUACGGCGGAACACGUGAAAUUCCGUCGGAAUCCGGGAGGACCAUCUCCCAAGGCUAAAUACUCCCUAGUGACCGAUAGUGAACCAGUACCGUGAGGGAAAGGUGAAAAGCACCCCGGAAGGGGAGUGAAACAGUUCCUGAAACCGUGUGCCUACAAGUAGUUAGAGCCCGUUAAUGGGUGAUAGCGUGCCUUUUGUAGAAUGAACCGGCGAGUUACGAUUUGUUGCAAGGUUAAGCGGAAAAAGCGGAGCCGUAGCGAAAGCGAGUCUGAAUAGGGCGCAUAAGUAACAGGUCGUAGACCCGAAACCAGGUGAUCUACCCAUGUCCAGGAUGAAGGUAAGGUAAUACUUACUGGAGGUCCGAACCCACGCACGUUGAA
rnacentral:rRNA from 1 species